rnacentral:ncRNA from 1 species
CGCAUGUCAGCCCAUGCUGGUGCCCGUGUAAACGGGUGAAAAGGGAACGCCGAGGCCGGAUCGUCCGGCCGAACGCAGCCGCCCCCGCGACCGUAGACGGAGGCGCCGUUCCAUGCGCCACUGGCCCGUAGGGCCGGGAAGGCGGAACGGUCUGUCGGAGCCUCUCCGACCCUCCGCGAGCCGGGAGACCUGCCAGCCGGAACGACGCACG